GACGAUGGGUAGGGUCCUGAGAGGGAGAUCCCCCACACUGGUACUGAGACACGGACCAGACUCCUACGGGAGGCAGCAGUGAGGAAUAUUGGACAAUGGGCGCAAGCCUGAUCCAGCCAUGCCGCGUGCAGGAUGACGGUCCUAUGGAUUGUAAACUGCUUUUAUACGAGAAGAAACACCGGUUCGUGAACCGGCUUGACGGUAUCGUAAGAAUAAGGAUCGGCUAACUCCGUGCCAGCAGCCGCGGUAAUACGGAGGAUCCAAGCGUUAUCCGGAAUCAUUGGGUUUAAAGGGUCCGUAGGCGGCCUUAUAAGUCAGUGGUGAAAUCUCACGGCUCAACCGUGAAAUGGCCAUUGAUACUGUAGGGCUUGAAUUAUUAGGAAGUAACUAGAAUAUGUAGUGUAGCGGUGAAAUGCUUAGAGAUUACAUGGAAUACCAAUUGCGAAGGCAGGUUACUACUAAUGGAUUGACGCUGAUGGACGAAAGCGUGGGUAGCGAACAGGAUUAGAUACCCUGGUAGUCCACGCCGUAAACGAUGGAUACUAGCUGUUGGGGGCAACUUCAGUGGCUAAGCGAAAGUGAUAAGUAUCC
rnacentral:rRNA from 1 species